AUUGAACGCUGGCGGCAGGCCUAACACAUGCAAGUCGAGCGAGCGACGGACGGGUGAGUAAUGCCUGGGAAUUGCCCAGUCGGGGGGGAUAACAGUUGGCAACGACUGCUAAUACCGCAUCCGGUUGGGUUUGCCAGGUGGGAUUAGCUAGUUGGUGGGGUAAUGGCUCACCAAGGCGACGAUCCCUAGCUGGUCUGAGAGGAUGACCAGCCACACUGGAACUGAGACACGGUCCAGACUCCUACGGGAGGCAGCAGUGGGGAAUAUUGCACAAUGGGGGAAACCCUGAUGCAGCCAUGCCGCGUGUGUGAAGAAGGCCUUCGGGUUGUAAAGCACUUUCAGCGAGGAGGCGUUACUCGCAGAAGAAGCACCGGCUAACUCCGUGCCAGCAGCCGCGGUAAUUC
rnacentral:rRNA from 1 species